GACGAACGCUGGCGGCGUGCUUAACACAUGCAAGUCGAACGGAAAGGCCCUGCUUUUGUGGGGUGCUCGAGUGGCGAACGGGUGAGUAACACGUGAGUAACCUGCCCUUGACUUUGGGAUAACUUCAGGAAACUGGGGCUAAUACCGGAUAGGAGCUCCUGCUGCAUGGUGGGGGUUGGAAAGUUUCGGCGGUUGGGGAUGGACUCGCGGCUUAUCAGCUUGUUGGUGGGGUAGUGGCUUACCAAGGCUUUGACGGGUAGCCGGCCUGAGAGGGUGACCGGCCACAUGGGGACUGAGAUACGGCCCAGACUCCUACGGGAGGCAGCGGUGGGGAAUAUUGCACAAGGGGCGGAGGCCUGAUGCAGCAACGCCGCGUGCGGGAUGACGGCCUUCGGGUGGUAAACCGCUUUCGCCUGUGACGAAGCGUGAGUGACGGUAAUGGGGAAAGAGGCACCGGCUAACUACGU
rnacentral:rRNA from 1 species